GGGGGGGUGUGGUUGCAAAGCUGAAACUUAAAGGAACUGACGGAAGGGCACCACCAG
rnacentral:ncRNA from 1 species